GACGAACGCUGGCGGCGUGCUUAACACAUGCAAGUCGAACGGAAAGGCCCUGCUUUUGUGGGGUGCUCGAGUGGCGAACGGGUGAGUAACACGUGAGUAACCUGCCCUUGACUUUGGGAUAACUUCAGGAAACUGGGGCUAAUACCGGAUAUGAGCUCCUGCUGCAUGGUGGGGGUUGGAAAGUUUCGGCGGUUGGGGAUGGACUCGCGGCUUAUCAGCUUGUUGGUGGGGUAGUGGCUUACCAAGGCUUUGACGGGUAGCCUGCCUGAGAGGGUGACCGGAAAAAUUGGGACUGAGAUAGGGCGCAGAAUACUACGGGAGGCAGCAGUGGGGAAUAUUGCACAAUGGGCGGAAGCCUGAUGAAGCAAAGCCGCGUGCGGGAUGACGGCCUUCGGGUUGUAAAACGCUUUCGCAUGUGACGAAGCGUGAGUGACGGUAAUGGGUAAAGAAGCACCGGCUAACUACGUG
rnacentral:rRNA from 1 species